rnacentral:rRNA from 1 species
UACGAAGGGGGCUAGCGUUGCUCGGAAUCACUGGGCGUAAAGCGCACGUAGGCGGAUUGCUAAGUCAGGGGUGAAAUCCUGGAGCUCAACUCCAGAACUGCCUUUGAUACUGGCGAUCUUGAGUCCGGGAGAGGUGAGUGGAACUGCGAGUGUAGAGGUGAAAUUCGUAGAUAUCCGCAAGAACACCAGUGGCGAAGGCGGCUCACUGGCCCGGUACUGACGCUGAGGCACGAAAGCGUGGGGAGCAAACAGG